rnacentral:rRNA from 1 species
UAACAUGUGCGCGAGUCAUGGGGUCCAUACGAAACCCAAAGGCGCAAUGAAAGUGAAGGCCUCCCCCGGAGUGCCCAGGCAGGAUCCCGUCGCCUCUGCGCGGCGGGCGCACUGCCGGCCCGUCUCGGCGGCAUCGUCCGCGAGGCGGAGCAAGAGCGCACACGUUGGGACCCGAAAGAUGGUGAACUAUGUCUGAGUAGGGCGAAGUCAGAGGAAACUCUGAUGGAGGCCCGCAGCGAUUCUGACGUGCAAAUCGAUCGUCAAACUUGGAUAUAGGGG